rnacentral:rRNA from 1 species
CCCUUAGAUGUUCUGGGCCGCACGCGCGCUACAAUGGUCUUCGCAAACGGAUGCAUUCUCGAAGGAGAAUGCCAAUCUUGGAAUCUAUGCCUUGGUCGGGACAGUUGCUUGCAAUUUUUCGACUCGAACCAGGAAUUCCUUGUAAUCGUGAUUCAUCACAUCACGAUGAAUACGUCCCUGCCCUUUGUACACACCGCCCGUCGCUCCUACCGAUCGAAGAGUUAGGUGAAUUGUUUUGAUCGAUAAGAUUUGACUAUGGUCAACUCUCGUUGUGAAAUUCUGUGAAUCUGACUGUUUAGAGGAAGGAAAAGUCGGAACA